rnacentral:sRNA from 1 species
GCUGGGUGUGAUGGCACAUGCCUGUAAUCCCAGCAAUUUGGGAGCCUGAGGCAAGAGGGUCACGAGUUCAAAGUCAGCCUCAGCAACUUAGUGAGGCCCUAAGAAACUCAGUGAGACCCUGUCUCUA